UACGGGGGGGAGCAAGCGUUGUUCGGAAUUACUGGGCGUAAAGGGCGCGUAGGCGGCCUGCUAAGUCAGACGUGAAAUCCCCAGGCUCAACCUGGGAACUGCGUCUGAUACUGGAUGGCUUGAAUCCGGGAGAGGGAUGCAGAAUUCCAGGUGUAGCGGUGAAAUGCGUAGAUAUCUGGAGGAACACCGGUGGCGAAGGCGGCGAUCCUGG
rnacentral:rRNA from 1 species